AUGGAGAGUUUGAUCCUGGCUCAGGAUGAACGCUGGCGGUAUGCCUAACACAUGCAAGUCGAACGAUGUUUUCGGACAUAGUGGCGGACGGGUGAGUAACGCGUGAGAAUCUGCCUUCAGGAUGGGGAUAACAGUGGGAAAUCGCUGCUAAAACCCAAUGAGCCGAGAGGUAAAAUAUUUAUAGCCUGAAGAGGAGCUCGCGUCCGAUUAGUUAGUUGGUGUGGUAAGAGCAUACCAAGACGAUGAUCGGUAGCUGGUCUGAGAGGAUGAGCAGCCACACUGGGACUGAGACACGGCCCAGACUCCUACGGGAGGCAGCAGUGGGGAAUUUUCCGCAAUGGGCGAAAGCCUGACGGAGCAAUACCGCGUGAGGGAGGAAGGCUUUUGGGUUGUAAACCUCUUUUAUUAAGGAAGAAGAAAGUGACGGUACUUAAAGAAUAAGCAUCGGCUAACUCCGUGCCAGCAGCCGCGGUAAUACGGAGGAUGCAAGCGUUAUCCGGAAUUAUUGGGCGUAAAGCGUCCGCAGGUGGCUAAUCAAGUCUGCUGUUAAAGACAGAAGCUUAACUUCUGAGAGGCGGUGGAAACUGGAUAGCUAGAGUACGGUAGGGGUUGAGGGAAUUCCCAGUGUAGCGGUGAAAUGCGUAGAUAUUGGGAAGAACACCAGUGGCGAAGGCGCUCAACUGGGCCGUAACUGACACUGAGGGACGAAAGCUAGGGGAGCGAAAGGGAUUAGAUACCCCUGUAGUCCUAGCUGUAAACGAUGAACACUAGGCGUUGCUUGUAUCGACCCGAGCAGUGCCGUAGCCAACGCGUUAAGUGUUCCGCCUGGGGAGUACGCACGCAAGUGUGAAACUCAAAGGAAUUGACGGGGGCCCGCACAAGCGGUGGAGUAUGUGGUUUAAUUCGAUGCAACGCGAAGAACCUUACCAGGACUUGACAUCUCGAGAAGCUCUAGGAGACUAGAGCGUGCCUUAGGGAACUCGAAGACAGGUGGUGCAUGGCUGUCGUCAGCUCGUGUCGUGAGAUGUUGGGUUAAGUCCCGCAACGAGCGCAACCCUCGUUCUUAGUUGCCAGCAUUAAGUUGGGCACUCUAGGAAGACUGCCGGUGACAAACCGGAGGAAGGUGGGGAUGACGUCAAGUCAGCAUGCCCCAUACGUUCUGGGCUACACACGUACUACAAUGGUUGGGACAAAGGGCAGCAAGCUCGCGAGAGUAAGCGAAUCUCAGCAAACCCAGCCUCAGUUCAGAUUGCAGGCUGCAACUCGCCUGCAUGAAGGAGGAAUCGCUAGUAAUCGCAGGUCAGAAUACUGCGGUGAAUUCGUUCCCGGGCCUUGUACACACCGCCCGUCACACCAUGGAAGUUGGCCACGCCCGAAGUCGUUACCCUAACCAAUAUGGAGGGGGAUGCCGAAGGCAGGGCUGGUGACUAGGGUGAAGUCGUAACAAGGUAGCCGUACCGGAAGGUGUGGCUGGAUCACCUCCUU
rnacentral:rRNA from 1 species